GUUUAUUAAAACCACAGGCUGGCAAAUUCAGGAAACUCCUUUUUAAACACACAUAGGGAGAUUCCUAGCCUUUUUCAGCAGCAGAAGGGAUGAGGUUCUUUGUGUAAAUGAAAUCAAAAUCAAGAUUGUUAAAGCUCUAAGACUUGGCAGAAAUGUGAGAUUUGUGUCUUCUUAUUCACAGAAUAAGUGUGUGACCCACACUGCAGCUGAAACUACACCACCAGCUUUGGUUUCUGAGUACCAGCUCCAAACCACCACAGGCUAUGGGCUGACAAACAGUCCACUGGUUCAGAUAUAUGAAAAAAAAAUCUGUCAUUAUUUUUCCAUAUAUGCUCUGUGUCAGAGCAGGUCCCACCUGUCUUCCCCUAGCCAUAUUAAAUUUGGCAUGAACUUCUUACUGUAUAUUCAGGCAAAUUUUGCAGAAAGACCAGCAUCUGCCAUGCAUCUGCCUUGUCCAGAUGAUGUUUUUAUUUCUGAGUGAUGCCACAAUGUACAAAUCUGUAUGAACUGGGAAAUUAGUCAGAUAGAGGAAUAUCUUCAUAACUUGUUAUAGCAAUUAGUCCUGCUGUUUAGAGCCACACCAUUCAAGACAGCUAUGAAGUUGUUGAGCUAAGAAAGCACUCGAACACAGCACGGACAAACAUUAUUCUUUGUUGGCUGCUUGUCGCUGAUGAUUAUUCUCUGUUUGAAAUCCCUCAUUUCGGAAGGGAAGGGUUGUGAGACCAGGGAAGAGAGACAGCGAUCCUACAUCUGCUGUGAAUGAUGAGUAGGAGGAAGUAAGGAGGAAGUACAGACAGGUAGAUAUAGACCCUUGAAGUCUUACUUAUCUGUAGAGAGACACCAAGAGAAUUGCUCUGAGUACUUUCCUUUUUCAAAGCAGUUUUUUGAAACUGAGUUAAUAUAGCUGUCAUUCAGUUCAGCUUGAACUUGCCCAUAAAGUUACCUGUUAUUCAGAAGCCACUGCUCCUUCUGUACUCUCUCUCUGCUUAAUGGCAUCUUUAUUUCCAACAAAUGUAAUUUUUUAGGUAGCAGAGUGUUCUGCCCUUCUGUGUUUGGAUACAGGGAGAUCCUGUUUAGUUUACAAUAGAGCUCUGUCAUCCCAGAAAGAGAGGAGAGAAGCCAGUCUCCCAAAUACUACAGUUGCCUCAUUACUGCCCUUUCUGAAGUGAGACUUUUAUGCCAUAUUGGCUCAAUUAGGAGGUGUUAAAGAAAUGGCACUGGCAUCUUUAAUCAGAUGACAAGUUGUAGUGAUAGUUAAGAUUUACUACAAGGAAAAAUACCAAAUUGUAAAGUCCAUGGACCAAAGGCUCCAACUUAAUUGUAUAAUGUAGGAUGUCAUUGGGAAUUACCCUCAAAAGAUGCAUGGGGAGUUCUGGAGAAUCACAGAAAGGGAAGAAAAAAAGCCCUUUUUGUGACAGUCUCAGAGCUCAGGGGAACAGAGAGACAGCAAAUAAUGUGCUGGGUCAGAGACUAAUUAGGCAUUACAUCUGUCGUCUGACAGGAUUUCAUAACUCCCUGAUACCUCCAUUGUGUCUUCAUUUGGGAAUUUUCCUAGCCCUGAGCAUUUUUCAUUGCUCUGUCAGUCUGAAAUGAAUUUGUCCCAUCUUCUAUGCAACACCUACCAUAAAGUUAGCUUGCAAGAGGUCCCUGCUGAGGCAACAAGAGGCAUAUGCUCAGGCUUGGGAACAUCAUGGUUCACCAAGGCUGAAACAGCGGUGGCAGCAGCAACUACCUUCUCUGGGCUGGCUGACACACACCCUUCACAGUUUGGGGAAUGCUACCUGGUGAGCUGCAAAGGAAAUUCACAGUCAGCCAACAACUUAAUGCAAUUAAGUGCCUAUAAACUUCACUGUAAGGAGCAGUGCAACAGAAGUGUUGUAUCAAAUCACUGUUCCCAGACAAAGGGCACAAAGAGAGAGUGCACUCUGUAUCACACAUCAGACACACUCAGAGGCUGUUAAAAUCCCCAACCAGAGGUGGAGCUUCAAUCAGAGUGCACAACAGGCUGCAAUACACAGUCUGGAGGAGAACAGGCUUCAUUAAUCUCAAAGUUGUUUACACUUGCCUGAAUGUACAAUGCAAGACCACGGGAUGAGUUUUGCAGAAGGCCUGCACCUUAGAGACUUUGUUAUGUGCAUCGUUUCUUCAGGGCAAGAUGCAGUCCAAGUAGCCAUCGUUGGCUUAGACAACUUCAAAUCCAAGACAGAGGCAGAGAUAGAUUACAAGAACAGUGUCAGUUUUCUCAGCUGAACCAACCUAGCCUUUUUCAGCACACUGCACCAACUCUGCUUUCUGUAUCAGACCAGCACAGAGGAUGCUCUUUACUGGUUGCAUGGUUUUGCUCACAGGCAGUGCAAUGCUGUGAUGGUAUGGUUCCUCAGGCUAUCUGAUCGCUGUGCUUCACAGAACAGUGAUUUUGCUUCAAACAUCAUGUCACGCAACUCAGUGUUGCAGGCACCAGGAUCACAGAUCACAGCUGUGCCAAAUGAAUGAAGGCAGGACCUGCCAACACUGUUGCAGUUUAUGGUGGUAUGGUGAGCACAACAUAUGUUUCUAUUUACUGAUCAUGAGGCAGCUCUGGUGAUCCUACUACAUACCGUUGUCAGAAGGUAGGUGCUACUUCUUCGUGCCAUCACAUUUCCUUCUUUGGACACGUCCAAGUGUACUUAGGCUGCUCUAGCCAUUUCAGGGCGUAGCUGUCAGUGCAAGGAAGCUGAGGUGUGGGAAAGGCUCUAUGAGAUAGAUUUUAUGGGGUGAGAGGUAGGAGAGAAUCUGUAAUUUACUAUAAGCUAUGAUUGCACACAGCCAGAGUGCCUUGUGCCUGGGGAGAAAGCCAUCUUCUUUUGGCUGAUAACUGUUAUGGUGGGCUCUUUUAUUGUGGUCAAAACCCUCCCUCUACAGACUUUCCUGACAAAUAACAGACUAUGCUUGUGCAAAGGCAAAGCAUCUGAAGGAUGUACCAGAUGGGUUACAGUAGCCCUUCUUUUCCAAAACAAGGUCAGGCAUUUGCAUACCUCUCAGAUUCAGUUUGUCCUUCAAGAAUACUCAGAGGUGUCCCCCGUCUUUCAGACUCAUGCUGUUUCUUAGUGCUAUAUAUGUGCACAUACAUGUGCAUACAUAUAUACAGGUAAAUGUACAUGUACAUAUCCAUAUCUCACACAUAUGUAUCUUUGAAACGCUGAAAGAGAAAGGGAAAUCAGCUGACUUGUUCUCCAUCAAGAAGAAUGUUGCAAUUGAUUUCAACAAUAAAAAUAACUGAUAAAUAAUCACCUAAAAAAUGGACAACAGCCCUAGGCUUUGCUACUUUCCUGCCUACAGGAAAGUACUCCUGUGCUUUGAGUCAGGUGUUUGCUGCUUUUUGCUCCCUGCCAUCCUUACCCAAUCCAUAUUUUGCUCACAUUGAGGAGGCAAACUGGUUGUCAUGCAUGGAAGUGACAUGACACAUCCUUAGCAUCAUUCUGUUCACUGUUUUACAGUGGAAAGGACCCAGUCCUAGGAAUGCAGGUCCAGCUUGUCCAUGGAUUUUCACUGUGUGUUUUGAUAAGCCUUCAGGGACUGGCAACCCAUCUAAUCUGUCUACCAGCUGUUUGAAGUCAUACUGUCAUCUCCAUUCUGGCCUUCUGCUUGCUCAAUGCUCUGUGCUUCAGGUCCACGACUAACUUGGUGACCUCCACUGGACACACUCCAGUUUGAUCAUCUCUCUCUUGAAGUGGGGAGACCCAGAUUGGGUGGGAUCUCACCAGUCCGAAGUAGAGGAGACUAUAAUCACUAGUAUCACUCUAAUCACUCUAAUCACUCCCCUCACACUGCUCACUGCACUCUUUGCUUAUACAGCCAAAGCUUCCUGUGUUGCAGAGUCAUGCGCUGACUGCUGGUUAGCUACCUCGUACACUUCACAAGAUGGGAUCAUUCUACCCCAGAGGCAUAACUUCACAUUUGCGUCUGUUGACCUUCCCAAUGUCUGUAUCAGUCCAUUUCCCCAGCCUGCCCAGGUCUAUCAGAAAGGCAGCUCUGUCCUCCAGUGUACCACCUGCUUUCCCAGCCUCUCGUCUUCCACAAACCUACUGCACGGUCCACAGAAACUAAUUUUCCAUGUGCAAACCAAAACAAAAAGACAAAAAAGCAUGUGGGCUGACACCAUUUUUGCAGGUCCUCUCCCAGAAGAAGUGGCAACUCCGCUCUUUGAAUUUCCCCAAAACUGAAGCACAAUUUGAGCACCCAGGGGAUUGUGAAUGACUCACGUUUACAACUAGAGCUACAUUUCUUCAUCCUAGAAGUGGUUUAUCAAUUACAUUUUAACAAGACAUACUACAGUCCUGGCAUAUUCAUUAUUUUCUACUCAUUUGAGACAUACUCGAGAGGGAAGACUGAUCACAGGAAAUAAAUAAAUGCUCAAAUAAGCCAAUACACAGGAUAAGAAAUAUUAGAGGGUUUUUUUCAAGAAGAGAUUUAUGAAGCAACAGCUUGUAUUCUUACUAAAUUUCUUUCGUUAUGAACAACUUAAAAGUUGUGACAGAGUAACAACCUCAUCAAGGAAGUGAGCCAUCUUGGACACCAGAAAGAACAUAGAUAAAAUUGCUACAGACAUAAAAAUACAUGCAUGCAAAAAUACUGCUAAAAAUACAGUCAGCAAAAAAUUGGGGGAGAGGAGUCAAAGAGCCUCUCUUUGAGGUCUCACAGCUCUCUAAAGCAUACAUUGUGCUCAAUCACCUCCUUGGGCCACAACAAGCAGGUUUGGGAGUGUCCCCAGCUGUGACUAGCAGAGCUAGACUACUCAAACAAAAAAAUCUCACAUGAGAAGUUAAAAUAAAAUGGUCUGUAGAAAAAUCAACCCCAUUCCCACUGUCCAGGUGGUCCAUCCCUGAUGAGAAAUUGAGUACGAACUACUGCAUCGUUCUCUUUCCUCAGUAUAUUCCAGCAUGCAUGCUUGAAGAAAGAGCCUAUCAGCAUCCCUGUGGGAAGGAUGAUUCCACAAAUUUUCACAGAAUAAUACAAUCAUUUAGGUUGGAAAAGACCUCUAAGAUCAUCAAAUCCAAAUGAACCCAGCACUGCUAAGUAUACCACUAAACCAUAUACCUAACUGCCACAUCUACAUAUCUUUUAAAUACCUCCAGGGUUGGUGACUCCACCACCUCCCUGAGAUGCCUGUUCCAGUGCUUGACAACCCUUUCGGUGAAGAAAUUUUUCAUAAUAUGCAAUCUAAACCUUCCUUCACGCAACUUUUGUGGCUGUUUCCUCUUGUCCUAUCACUUGUUACUUGGGAGAAGAGACUGACACCCACUUACCACAAUCUCCUUUCAGGUAGUUGUAGAGAGCAACAGGUCAUCCCCAAGCCUCCAUUCUUCCAGGCUAAACACCCACAGUUCCCUCAGCCACUCCUCUUCAAACUUGUACUCCAGACCCGUCACCAGCUUCAUUGCCUUUUUCUGGACUCACUCAAGCACCUCAGUGCGUUUCUUGCAGUGAGGGGCCCAGAACUAGACACAGUACUUGAGGUGUGGCCUCACCAGUGCUGAAUACAGGGAAGAGUCGCUUCCCUGGUCUUGCUGGCCACACUGUUGCUGAUACAAACCAGGAUGCCCUUGGCCUUCUUGGCCACCUGGGCACACUGCUGGCUCAUGUUCAGCCAGCACCGCCAGGUCCUUUUCCACCAGGCAGCUUUCCAGCCACUUUUCCCCCAGCCUGUUAGCAUUGUAUGAGUUCGUUGUGACCCAAGGAUCUGUCAGUUCGAACCUCAUAUCAUUGACCUUAAUCAUUGAUCCAGCCUGCCCAGAUACCUUUGCAGAUCCUUCCUACUCCCUAGCAGAUCAACACUCCUGCCCAACUUGGUGUCAUCUGUGAACUUACUGAGGGUGCACUCCAUCCCCUCAUCCAGGUCAUAGUUAAAGAUACUAAACAGGACUGGCCUUAAUACUGAGCCCUGGAGAACACAACCUGUGACAUCUGCUAGUUGGAUGCAAUGCCAUUCACCAUGACCCUCUGGGUCUUUCUGUCACUACUAUUGAUUUAUGCUCCUCUGUGAUACACAGGAAAGAUAGAUGGGGUUGAUCUGUUGGAUUUCAGUCAGAAGGCUGGGAAUGCCAAGUCCCAGUUUCCUGUGCUCUUGAGAAGUAGUCCUAGGGUUGAUUGGCUCCAGAAGGCCCCAGAAACUCCUGUGACAUAGGUAUGCAAGGAACAAAUGUUGUUGAUACCCAAUGGCAAACACAAAACUGAAUCAUGAAAUAACCAAAAACAUCUCAUGAAGAUUGAACACUCUGGUAUGCAGCUUUUAAGAUGACACCCAGCAGUGGCAGUUCUGAAAAGAGUCAGUUAAGUAGAAGCUGCAGAAAAAAUAUCAUAUUUGAAAGUAAUUAGAUGACCUGAGCCUUGAGAAUAUUGAUUAGAAUUGAAUCUGGUAGCAGACUGGGGUACUGCAAAUUCUUGUUAUGCCACCUUCCCUCAUCACAUCAAAGCUGAGGAGACCCUCUCUAACCACAAAAAAAAAAAAAAAAAAAAAAAAAAAAAAGACAGACAUGAAGAUGCAGGUAGUCCUCGGUUUAGCAAAUUGCUCAAUAAACUUUUACAUGUUCAGGUAGAGCAAUGGGUGUAUGCAUUGUGGCAAGGCUCCUUUCCAUUCUAGCCAGCAAACACCUUGAUAAAUCACUCUCCAUCAUGAUAUAAUAGACCUUUAGAGAAUUGCUCCCACCCUAAAUAUUAGACACAAAUUUAUCUUCUUCUCCCAUUUCUUCAUAUUUUUGUAGGAUUCUGGGAAGCAACUGAAAUUAGUCUACCCAAUACAACAUUUUCUUCCUUUAUUAUUUAAUAUGAUUAAUUUGUUCAUUUGACCAUGUCUGGGGCCUCGCCUGUGAACUCUUACCAGUAACUUUCAAGCAGCCUUGGCUUGUUGAAUCCUCAAAAAAAUAAAAAAAAAGCCCAAGCAACCUCUUGCUGAUUUAAGGAUAUAGAAAUCUGGGACAAAAUAAACCCCCCUUGCUGGGCCUCAGAGAUCUGAGGGGUCAGAUACAGCCAGGAUUUAUUUCUGAUUAUUACCAAUUCAGCACUAUGAGUUUGGUCAUGUUCAAUAAGAGAUUUCACGAUCAGAGAUUCACAAAUAGUGUGAUUUACUUAUACGAUAGGUCUGGCUGAGCGCAAUAAAAGCUUGCACAUUCCAGAUAUAACAAAUAGUGUAGUUUACUGAAGCAAAAAGAGGUCCAGGAUUGCUGGUAAUAAAUACACUAACUGCAGUGUGUGAAUAUGUGUUAGGACAGAAGGUAUCCUAACAAAGAUCUAUUAGAUAGAUAGACUAAAAUAUUCCUGAAUCUGCUCCAAUGCAGUUGGAGGCAAAAAAUCUCACAUAAAGGUAUCCCUUCAGUGGAGGAGGUGAGACACAGUCCUUUGACUGAUCCCGAGCAAGCAGAGGUGUUUUUAUCCCCCUCAUUUUCUUUCUUUUUUUUUCUCUUGUCUUUUUCUUUGUUGUGAAAACCCCCCUUCUUUUAUAUAAUAAUUUUGGGCCUUCCCAAAAAGGUGGAUCAAUUCUGUGUCAUAAGUAGGCUGUUGGUGACUGUGGUCAUACAUGUAAGGCAUGUUCUCUUUUCAUUUGUAUUCUAAGGGGUGUGAAAGUUAAUAUGCAAAUAGGAAUUAAAGGGAAUCUUGGUUUCUUUUGGUCAGAAUUUAUAGUUGAUAUAAAAGGUAAAAUAAUCAAUAUGGUCUUCUUCCACCCACUGAGGCAGCAGUAAAGGCUGCCUGACCUUCACCAAAGCAUCUUUGCGCUCAUCCUGAUCUCCCCAAAGGACCAGACUUACAACAAGCCUUCUUAUGCAAGGUGAAGUGGGAGUGAGGCCAACGGCUGGUGUGGAUGCUCCUCUAUGCCUCACUGAAACAUCAGGACAUGAGGACUCCACCCCAGACAUCAUUUCAGUGUUAGCCCUUGCUCAAGCCAGGUGCAGGAUCAGUGAGAGGCCCUGUUCAUAUUUUUCUCAAGCAGCAUCAUCAAUUUGACACUGAAUUAAACAACUCUAUAGCAAGUCUGACAAUUUACUACACCUCUCUUUUCCUGCUGCCCCCCAAGAAAGGAACCUGUUGGUAUACACUUGGCACAUAACAACAAUCAUUUUAUGUCUGCUUAGAACAUUUUUCAUUGGAAAAUACAAUUUAAUCAAAAGGGAAACCUGGCUGCAGGAAGAUGUUGGUUUCAAUGACAUUUUGUAAUUGAGAAAAUAAAAAUCACAGAAUAUUUCACACUGACCUUUUUGAGAGGCUGGACAGGGCUAGGUCUUUUGAAAUUAUUUGUCUCUAAAAUAUUUGAUACUGAUUCAACUGCAGUCCAGCUGGCAAGAGCACAUCUUCAAUUUUCUUUUAACUGAAUUUGUUUGAUAGAUCAAAACUGAAAUUGUUAAAAAUACUUUGUUUGUUUGGGUUUUUCUGAGGGAACUGCCAAAGCACAAUAUUUUUCUGUUUUGAGCUAGAAAGAACUAUUCAGAUUGCAAUAUCAUACAGGAAGUCUGAUGAAGAGAUCUUUUUACACUUCAUCUUUUUGUAGAGAAAUUCUCUAUGGCCCUGUGCAGAACAGCUGUCCUAAGCCCUCUGCACUGAGUAACCUCUCCUUGGAAGCACAUACUCUUUUUUUCUGCGGUGAAAGUCAGGAAAGAAAGAGCAACAGGUGAGCUUCUUGGUCAGUGGAAGAUGUAAAGGGGAAAUCAGGCUACUUCCAACACAAAACACAUCUUGAGGAAGCAUCACUUGACACCAUUCAACAGCAGUGUGAGGGAAGACCCAAGAAGGCUCCUUGUGGCCAGGAUUUGUCGUCCGCUACCUAUGUUUCCAGAGUAUGUAGUUCUGCCUUGGGAAAGGCUCCCCAGUGUGUGCAAUGGCAGAGCCUCUUUACUAUCAUAUAACUUCCACAAAUUUCCACUGUCCUAAAUACUUCCCAAGUUUGAAAGGCCUCUGCCAGCAGGGGCCUGAGAGUAAUCUGGGUAGGAAAAGGGAGGCUCUAAGCUGAAUCCUUUGGUUAUGUCUUUCUCCUCUAUUCCUCUCUUUCCCUGUUCUCCCUUCACAGAGGCUGCUUCCACACAUUUAGAGCAAAAAACAGAAGCUCAGAGAAAAAAGACUUCAGUGCUGGCAGAUGGGGCUUGUGCUGGACAGAGCUGCGACCUCAUGUCAGGGAGCACACUGUGGAGCUGCUCCACAGUGGUGCUCUUAGGAGAGAAGCUGCAAGCGCCAAGACACACUCCCACUGGGCAGCCUAUGCUGCCGAAGCCCUUGGCUCCCAUCCAGUCCUUACAUCAAACUUCUUUUGAAGGUUAGACCCAAUGCCCUCAGCUGAUCCAGCUCUGAAACAGGCAGCGACUUUUUUCUGCCUUUGGGAUCUCACCAUACCCUAAACUGUAAAUUUUUGCAAAGAUUUGCUAAGCUCUCAUGUUACUCAGGUGCUAGUACAUCAUCCUUAGAGCUGAACUGAAGAUAGAUACAGAAGAACUUUCUCUAGGAACUGUGCUGCAGCAGAACAUUGAACUCCUCUUGGACUUACUCAGGGACUACUGGGGCAGGAGGCCUAGUCUCUUCUGACUCCUGAGUAGUUAACAGAAAGAAAUCAAUGCCUCCAAAGGGAAAUUCAGAGCAAGAGAUAAAUGCUUGGAAUUAAUCUGAAUUAUAUGUUGGCUGUGAUUCUCUGACGGCUAGAGAGGAAGCCUUGGGAGAAAAGUCUGCAGCACCAUUAAGAUACUUACUCUCAUUUCCUAUGAUCCAUGCUGCCUUUCCUGAGUCCUAUGCCCAGAUGCAUUUUCAAACUGCUUUUGAUGCCUGGGUCUUCCUAUUCCAGACAUUUCUGCAGCUCAAAGUUGUCUUUGCGGCAUUGCAGUUACCUUGAGAUUAGUGGGAGCAACUGGUUAGGAACCCAUUCCCAAAUUCCCACACCAAAGUGCCACCGGCACUCUGAGGGAGUGCAGUGAAGUGCCAUUAUCACUUGUUAUCUUCAAGCAAUUUUCAGUUGGAACAUUCAGCUUAGGAACAUUCCUUGGCUGAAGACACCCUGUGGGUGCUGCUGUACUGACCCUUUAUUUAGUUCUGCAUCAGAACAUAAUAAGAGGCAUGAGCGUUGGUAGGGACUCAGGGCAGGGUGUGACAUGUCAAAAUGGAGUAUCUUCCCAGAACUGAGCUGCAGGCUGAUAACUAUGGCCCAGAGCAUCUUUUAAGAUUGCAUUCUUGUUUUCUUUGGCAGGGGAUUCUCUUAAAAAAAACAUUUCCUGUUAUUUUCAUUUCACCCCAGCACAAAUUAGCUUUUCUUCAUUCCUCCUUGGUUUUCUUCACCUCAGACACUGUUGGCCAGCUAAUUCUUCUAAAAUUUGCCGUUUGAUCACUGAGCAAAUUGUAUUAUUACAACCCUGUUGUUAGAGGCACCAUGGGAAUAUAAUUUAAUUACUGCAUAAUAUCAAUCAGAUGCAUAAAUUAAAACAUUCACAUUUGAAAAAAAGACAUUUUCUACUUUUAGUUGUAUGAUCUGCCAAGCUUGGAAGUGAAAAAAGCUUCUUUCUCCAAGCUCUUGUGCAGUGAGAGGUGGUCAAUUCUCCCAAAUAGGUAGAAGGGCUCACAGUUGAAAGCAUAGGGCUCACAGUUCCCAGGUGUGGUUACCUUUAAGAAGAAUUAUUUCUGGAAGAAUUUUUAACAAGAGAGGCUGUGAUUGAACACCAUUUAAGUUCUACAGUGUCUAGCAUCAAAUAGUUUAACUACAGGGUCUAUGAAGAACCACCUCUGUGUCAACUGUGAUGUAAACAAUAGCUGGGCCUUUUAAAGCUACAAGUAGAAAUGCAAGCCUUCAUGGCCUCUCAUAUGUCAAAACGCAACAAGCCUCAAGGAAGCUAAAUUUUCUCAUGUGCUUUUAAGCUGAAACACUUCAGCAGGGAGAGAAGAAAACGUAAGAAGGGUCAGGGGUCUGUGUCUUAUCAAUUGGUAUACAAAAGUCUACUGGGCUUCUCCAGCCUAAUGAUCUCCUCCAUCAUCUUGUACCGUAAGAGUCCCUCUUAUAGUCCUUACUACAGUGACACAGCACUAAAGAAACACACAAACUCAAAUCACUGGUGAAGAAGAAUAAGGACGGAGGAAGAUAAAUGUUCUGUUUUGAAAGAAACUCCUUUUUGAUCUCAUAUCAUCCAGUGGAUGAAAGCAAUGGGGAAAAAAUUCAUAUUAGAUGCAACAUUUGGUUUCAACUAUGAGCUGGUAAUUGAGUUGUCUGUUUUGGCAUGUCUUGCUCUGAAAGAGGAUUUUUAAAUUAAAACUGGCUUCCAACUCCUCUAGAAAUUAUUUUUGGCUUAUUUUGAUCCCAGCAAACCUGAAAUGGUAUUGUAUAUAUAUGCUUCCGAUUAUAAGUUACCUGGCAGAAGUGGCCCAAGUUUGCUAAAGUCCUGAGCCAUCUGGUUUCUGUGGGAGCCCUUGGCACAAGGCUACCUGUCCACUCAGUGAUGCCUGGGGCAAAGGUGGGUCCUGAAUGCUGAAUCAGGGGUGAGACAAGUGUAAUGAGAUGUUUGUCAUGGCAAAACAUUAUGCAGAAACUCAAGAGCAGGUACUCCCGGGCUCUUUUGGCUUACAGUUUUCUCCCACUGCUUAGAUUUGAGAAAAGCCAAAUAUGCGUCUGUUAGAGUUUAGGUAAAUGAUGAAGAUUUUUUUGUUGUUGAAUUUUUUCGUCGUGGGGGACGCCUCCCUCCUCUCUAUGUGCAGGGCGGGGAGGGAUGAGGAGGUCCCAACGGGAAGUACCACGACAGUUUAGGGAGAUAAAACUUCCUGGCACUACUGGAACUCGUUUUCUGGUUUCUGGGGGGUCAACUUGGAGGGAGUCGCCAGCCACUGUGCCCCUGGAGCUCCCCCACGCUCCAGCUUCGUGGAUCACAUGCUGGGCAGGGGCUCUCCCGUUCACCACAGCAGCCGUGUUGGAAGGAAACCGGGAAUGCCCCUUUCCCCUUUGGUGCACUGUGACUGGUGACAGCCACGCCGCCUCCUCGCUGCUCACCUCGCGCCACCUCCUCGCUGCUCGUCGCAGCCACCGCUGGACACCACCUUGGAGGCCCACCCGCCCACCGCUGCUGUCGCGGCCCCUGCCGCCACGCCGCACCCAAUACUGCCCCUCGGCUCUGCACAGGAACUCCGUGGGGACUGUGUUGGGCAGCAUAGAACCGAGAGAGUGGUUUUAGGUGACAUUAUUUCUGCUAUUGUUUGUUUGGUUUGUUCUCCGUUUUUUUAGUAAAAAUAUUUAUUUUCCUACUUCA